rnacentral:rRNA from 1 species
AAACUUUACACUGCGGGAAACCGCGAUAAGGGGACCCCGAGUGCCAGCACCUAGUGCUGGCUGUCCUACUGUCUAAAUAACAGUGGUUAGCAAGGGCCGGGCAAGACCGGUGCCAGCCGCCGCGGUAACACCGGCGGCCCGAGUGGUAACCGUUUUUAUUGGGUUUAAAGGGUCCGUAGCCGGCUUACUAAGUCUCUUGGGAAAUCUGACGGCUCAAUCGUCAGGCGGCCAAGAGAUACUGGUAGGCUUGGGACCGGGAGAGGUGGGAGGUACUCCAGGGGUAGGGGUGAAAUCUCGUAAUCCUUGGGGGACCACCGAUGGCGAAGGCAUCCCACCAGAACGGGUUCGACGGUGAGGGACGAAAGCUGGGGGCACGAACCGG